rnacentral:rRNA from 1 species
UACGGAGGGGGCUAGCGUUGUUCGGAAUUACUGGGCGUAAAGCGCACGUAGGCGGCUUUGCAAGUUAGAGGUGAAAGCCCGGAGCUUAACUCCGGAAUUGCCUUUAAAACUGCAUCGCUAGAAUUGUGGAGAGGUGAGUGGAAUUCCGAGUGUAGAGGUGAAAUUCGUAGAUAUUCGGCGGAACACCAGUGGCGAAGGCGACUCACUGGCCCGAUACUGACGCUGAGGCGCGAAAGCGUGGGGAGCAAACAGG